rnacentral:rRNA from 1 species
UUUGAUGCGGUGCUAUACAUGCAGUCGAGCGGACCUCUUCGGAGGUCAGCGGCGGACGGGUGAGUAACACGUGGGCAACCUGCCUGUAAGACUGGGAUAACUCCGGGAAACCGGAGCUAAUACCGGAUAACCUUUUGAACCGCAUGGUUCAAAAUUGAAAGACGGUUAUGCUGUCACUUACAGAUGGGCCCGCGGCGCAUUAGCUAGUUGGUGAGGUAAUGGCUCACCAAGGCGACGAUGCGUAGCCGACCUGAGAGGGUGAUCGGCCACACUGGGACUGAGACACGGCCCAGACUCCUACGGGAGGCAGCAGUAGGGAAUCUUCCGCAAUGGACGAAAGUCUGACGGAGCAACGCCGCGUGAGUGAUGAAGGUUUUCGGAUCGUAAAGCUCUGUUGUCAGGGAAGAACAAGUGCGGGAGUCACUGCCCGCGCCUUGACGGUACCUGACCAGAAAGCCACGGCUAACUACGUGCCAGCAGCCGCGGUAAUACGUAGGUGGCAAGCGUUGUCCGGAAUUAUUGGGCGUAAAGCGCGCGCAGGCGGUCUUUUAAGUCUGAUGUGAAAGCCCCCGGCUCAACCGGGGAGGGUCAUUGGAAACUGGAGGACUUGAGUGCAGAAGAGGAGAGUGGAAUUCCACGUGUAGCGGUGAAAUGCGUAGAGAUGUGGAGGAACACCAGUGGCGAAGGCGACUCUCUGGUCUGUAACUGACGCUGAGG